rnacentral:misc_RNA from 1 species
AUGUUUUUUUUUUUUUUUUUUUUUUUUUUUUUGAUUUGGUGAGAGG